GACAAAAUUUAACAUGGGUUUAUUCCUUUCCUUUUUGUUUAGUAAAAGGCUUCUAUUUUCUUUGUCAAAGCAAAAGUUUAGUCCUUUCUCUUUGGGAAUAUUUACAUGUUAAGAAAGAGAUAGAGGGAAUCUACACAGCUAAAACAUUACAUAAAAUGGACUAAUAACAACUUUAACACGUAAAAUGGACUUAGUUUUAUGCUGAGAUUAUUUACUUGCAACUAAAUAUUUUGCUUUACAUUAAGAAUAUGCAUAAAUAUUUUCACAAGGGCACAUAUAAUUUUUCUUGUAAUUUUAUAAGAAAUUAAUUAUUGGUUUCAUCUCAGAUGGAAUAUGAACGCAAGUUAUGUGAAUUGAUAUUUGAUUAGUGCUAUCUGCCUCUAGAACUAGAGAAGUUAGGUUGUUUGGUGAACCGACCAGUAUGUAGUUCUCAAUUUACUAAACGCAAUUUACUUUGGUCAUCAAAGUUACAUUUUACCCAAAAAAGAAAGAUAAAAGCUGAAAUCACGCGGUAUGCAAUUCACCCAAAAGCGAACGUACCUACAACUUUAUUCGAUGAGCAAGUUUCUCAAGUUAUCAAAAGAUAUUCAUAAACAUUUCGACUUACUACAAAAUAAAAUGACCAAUGUUAAAUUCAGACAUAUUUCCAACUUAAAAAAAAAGAUUGGCAAUAAGUAGAUUAACUAUAAUCUAAUUAUAUAAAAUAGGCUUUGCUUCCCUCCUGUUGAGCCACGUCAGAUUCCAGCUCAAAAAUUCGAAGUUUUUGGUGCCGACACGUGUCCCAUGUUUUAAACUCAGCGUUUCAUUUAUUCAAGAUUAAUAUUCGUUUGGGUUAUUGAUUUCACGUGAAAAAAAAAGAAGCAAGUCGUGUGUUUUCUGUUUCAAAGGUUGAACCCUUAUUCUUCUCUGCCGUCGUGAUGUAGUCUCAAACUCUAGGGUUUCGAUUCAUCUUCUUACUCCAACCCUGAUUUUUACCAGUUUCAGAUUCAUCUUCUUAAAGUUCUUCUUAAUUUUAUUAUCCACGAUCUACAUUUAUUGUUUGCUUCACUCUUGCAAAACGGUGGAAACCUCAGUAUAUAAAGAUUAGCAUCCGUAUUCUCGAGAUCAUCCUACCAAUCUAUUCAAACAGAUAAAUCCAUGUAGAUUCUGGAAAAUGGCUAUCGCUCAAGUUUUUCUUUCUGACUCGAAGUCUGGAAGAUGUUCUUCCUCAAGUGAGAUGAGGUUGUUUCGUUUCUAUGAGGCAAAUAAUAUUGGGAGGCGAGCCUAUGGGCGUCUACAUACUCCACCUCGGCGUUAAGGUAAUUCCGGCGAAAGUAACAAUAAAUCUUUUUUCUUUUCAAUGAAGAUAUUUGAGCUUUACAAUUUUACGAUACCAAACAUUUGACAAUUACAGGCUCUUUGAUUUGAUUUUUGGGUUAUUUUUAGUUCUGUUCACGUUUUUUUUUUGUUUUAGUCUAUAGCCAUCGAAGAAAAAAAUUUGAUUAUGUUCUUCACACUUCAGAGUCUGAACCUUGGCACUUGAAUCAUCUUAUGGCUUGUUUUACCAUCCGUUGAAAUAUCUCGCCUUAAAUCAUUGUCUUGAAAACUCUUGGUAACUUGUUUACGUUAGACACAAUAUGAUAUGAUUUAACAAUCAUUUUUUUACAAAUUCCAAUGAUUUGUAUGGUGCAUCAUGAGGAUCUGAUAAGUUUAAACAUUCUGUGUCAAUAAAAUCAGCCAGAGAAUUGUAAGUUUUCUUAUAUCUGUCACCUAGAUAUUGUCUUAUUUGAUAGAUCUAAUAUCAACCAGAGUUUGGAAAACAACUUUAAAGAUAUGAAAAAUGUUUAAAAGAAGCUCUAUGAUCUACAUAAUACUAAGAGCUCUGUUUAAUAUAUGUUACAUUAAGUCUUUGAUUUGUAGUUUGGUUCUUAUUGUUCCAGGUUCUUCUUCUACUUGAUGCAGGUUGCCCUUGGUCGUUCUGCUUCUGAUUGCAAUCUGUCAUGCCAUCUUUGAAGUCUCCAAGUUUGUCUGUUUCAUGGUGAAGCUCGACAUCUUUUUACAGAUAUGCCAAAGGGAGAGUUGAAAAAGUAUCAUCUCUCUCCUGAAUCCCUCUUUUAUUCUCCUAUUUUGCUUUUGUGAAAACAACAGUGAAAGACUUACAUUGUAUAUAUAUAUACCUCUCUUGGCUUUCCCGUACCUUUUUAUAACUGUUUCAAAAUGAUUCUUUUGGUUAUUAUUGCAACUUAUUUUACGCUUAUGGCUUAUUUAAAGCUUAUGAAGGAUUAGAAAUUUCAAGGACCGGAAGCACUGCAGUAAAACGGUUUUUGAUUAGAACUUUUGCCAGCUUGAUAAACAACCAAGCUUGAUUGUAUUGUAUGUGUAUCUUAUCGAAUUUUGUUAAACAGAAAUAUCUCUAUUGCAAGUCUUUUUUUGUAUGUUUUUGAACAUUGAAAUCAAUGACAGUGAUUAUUUAUAAAUAAAAGAAUUGGUUAACAAAUAAUGUUGAGAUAUAAUUAGUGUUGAGGAGAAAAUUAAUGUUGUGGGCUCUGGCUACAAGCCUACAACGAACCAAACAAAUAUGGGUAAAACGUGUUUAGCAAUUGCAAGCGGGCCACUCCCAAAUUGAUAUCGAAAAUGAAGUUAAUCAAGGAAAAAGAAAGGCUUGGGCGAGUACAUGGCAAGACUGUAAUUAGUGUGAGCUUGACAUAUUAAUAAAAGCACACGAAAUGAAUUGAGAAAUAACCUUAAGUUGAAUUGAAUUAGCAAAACAUGUAGAAGGGGAGAUGAUGUCAUACCAUAAGAAGCUGACUGUGGGGGCUCAAUUGGUUUGUAGGCUAUGCUCCACCUCUUGAAUUCAAUUAAAGCAGAUGAGAAGAAGAGAUGUUGUAGGUGAUUAAUGUAUAAGUAUAAAAUUUAAAUAUUUGUGUAAGAAUGUUUAAUAAUUUUAUUCGAUAGGCCAAUUAAUAUACGAUAAGAAUGUAAUAUAAGAAAUGGUGUAACAUUUGUAUUUUGUUUUGUUGGCAAGUAUAUGUCGUUAUAUUUGUGAGCAUUCGAUUCAGAAAAGCACGAGAGCUAAUUGAGACAAAAGAAAAUAUUUUCUUCUUUUAAUUUUAACUUUUGUCUAGAGAGUUUGGUUGUGUGUUAAGUUAACUAUUAUGAAAGUGAAUAAAAUACAAGUCAUUGGUAUCUAAUUUAUUCUAAAUUCUAAAGCACAAGUAGGACUACAAUCCUAACACUCACCUUACACACAAUACAAAAUCUCCAUGAAAUGCAAUUGUUGUCAUGACUCUAUGGUUUACUACCUUAACCAGCACAAACUAAAUUAACUCAAAAUACUUUAUUACCUUACGGUCCACUUCUACUUUCAGUGUAGAAAACAAUUUAUAAUUAGACUACUACGAGAAAUACUACUACGAGACUUAAGUUAUUUCCAGAGAUACAUAGCGAUAGCCAACCUUUAAAGCUUAGGUUAUUUCCACCAAUACACUCACUCAACCGAAAUCACAUUCUGUUAUAUGCAGCAGACAGCCACACUUGAUUAAAUAAUAAAGCCAAAGUACAAUAACUCAAAAAUAAUUCAAAGAACAUGAUUUUCAUUUUCAAUCAUCCAUCCAUCGGUUUAAACUUGACAGAAACAAACUAACUACGAUAUCAGUUGCAAACCAACCCCUACCAUUAGAUUUGCAUAUUAACAAUCAUAUUAUUCGUAAUGAAAAAUACAAAUGUAAUACAUCCCGCCCAUAGGACGGGUCGAUCCUAGUUUUUUAUAUAUUAGUUAGUUAUUUCUCUAAUUACCGAUAUUAGACCAUGAUUAACCCCAAUCUUUUAAUUGGGGUUUUUAUUUUCGGUUAAAAGACGGUUUUUAACUUUUCUUAGAUUUUAAUUAAGAAAAACUAAAUACCAUCUAUUAAAUAAGAGAUAUAAGAGCUGUCACUUAGCUAAAAAA